rnacentral:rRNA from 1 species
GACGAACGCUGGCGGCGUGCCUAAUACAUGCAAGUCGAGCGAACAGACGAGGAGCUUGCUCCUCUGACGUUAGCGGCGGACGGGUGAGUAACACGUGGAUAACCUACCUAUAAGACUGGGAUAACUUCGGGAAACCGGAGCUAAUACCGGAUAAUAUAUUGAACCGCAUGGUUCAAUAGUGAAAGACGGUUUUGCUGUCACUUAUAGAUGGAUCCGCGCCGCAUUAGCUAGUUGGUAAGGUAACGGCUUACCAAGGCAACGAUACGUAGCCGACCUGAGAGGGUGAUCGGCCACACUGGAACUGAGACACGGUCCAGACUCCUACGGGAGGCAGCAGUAGGGAAUCUUCCGCAAUGGGCGAAAGCCUGACGGAGCAACGCCGCGUGAGUGAUGAAGGUCUUCGGAUCGUAAAACUCUGUUAUUAGGGAAGAACAGAUGUGUAAGUAACUAUGCACGUCUUGACGGUACCUAAUCAGAAAGCCACGGCUAACUACGUG